rnacentral:rRNA from 1 species
GACGAACGCUGGCGGCGUGCUUAACACAUGCAAGUCGAACGGAAAGGCCCUGCUUUUGUGGGGUGCUCGAGUGGCGCACGGGGGAGUAACACGUGAGUAACCUGCCCUUGACUUUGGGAUAACUUCAGGAAACUGGGGCUAAUACCGGAUAGGAGCUCCUGCUGCAUGGUGGGGGUUGGAAAGUUUCGGCGGUGGGGGAUGGACUCGCGGCUUAUCAGCUUGUUUGUGGGGUAGUGGCUUACCAAGUCUUUGACGGGUAGGCCGCCUGAGAGGGUGACCGGCCACCAUGGGACUGAGAGACGGCCCAGACUGCUACGGGAGGCAGCAGUCGGGAACAUUGCAGAAUGGGCGGAAGCCUGUGGCAGCAGCCCCGCGUGCGGGAUGACGGCCUUCGGGGGGUAAACCGCUUUCGCCUGUGACGAAGCGUGAGUGACGGUACUGGGUAAAGAAGCACCGGCUAACUACGUG